rnacentral:rRNA from 1 species
AUGGAGGGCAGAGAUGAUGUCAAAUCAGAUGAGAUCCUCCUGCCUGGGUUCCGGUUCCAUCCUACCGACGAAGAGCUGGUUAGUUUCUACCUCAAGAAGAAGAUCCAGCAGAAGCCCAUCUCCAUCGAGCUCAUCAAGCAGCAGGACAUCUACAAGUUCGAUCCAUGGGACCUCCCAAAGCUUGCGAGCACCAGCAGUGAGACAGAGUGGUACUUCUACUGCCCAAGGGACCGCAAAUAUCACAACAGCGCGAGGCCAAACCGGGUCACAGCAGCUGGGUUCUGGAAAGCCACAGGAACAGAUAGGCCAAUUUACUCCUCCGAGGGCACCAGGUGCGUAGGCCUGAAGAAGUCCCUUGUCUUCUACAAAGGCAGAGCGGCAAGAGGGAUCAAAACCGACUGGAUGAUGCAUGAGUUCAGGCUUCCUUCGCUCGCCGAUCCAUCACUUCCCAAGAGACCGAUCGACAAGAACAUCCCGCUUAAUGACUCUUGGACCAUAUGCAGAAUUUUCAAGAAGCCAGGUUCGAUGGCGGCGCAACGGGCGCUGUCUCAUGCUUGGGGGGCUCCAUUGCCUGGGGCAACUGAGCAACCGAUGCAAGCUUCACAUUUUGCUUCGGAGAGCUCCACCCGCUCAUUGCAAGUUGCAGCAGUGGCACCAUCAAGUCAGUUCAUAAGUUUCAACUGUGGUCCAUCUCCGCAAGUCCUCAAAGGUCCCACCAUCUUGCCAUUCCAAACACAGGCGCCAUCACACAAGCCCGUGCUGCACACUGCGCCACCACCGCUCUUCUUCGAUGCGCACUUUGGGCAGCCUGAGCAGAGCGCUGGAUUUGUGACUGGUUCUUCUGCAGAUGUAAAUGCCAGCAUGAGCUGCAGGGACCAAGAGUCAUCCACAACGAAGCAUGGCGGUAAAUUCAGGAGCAUGAACAAUGAGUGGGAAGCUCCGGGGAGACUCGACUUCCCAUUCGGUUUAGUAGCAGACUCUUCGGAUGACUGGGAGUGCAACAUACCUUGGGAAUCCUUUCUUAGCCCAACAGUCCCUGCUGAGAUCUCACAGCACUAG